AGCAGCAUGGCGCAGUGGUAGCGCGCGGGGCCCAUAUUAUGGUGUGUACCCCGAGGUCACUCGAUCGAAACGAGUUGCUGCUA